AUUUGUGGAAUGACUUGAUGUACUUAAAUAUUUGUGUAUUAUUAAUGAUAUACGAAUGGUAAUGCUAAUUUUUAUCAAAUUUCGCAACGUCUCGUAUGAGCGUCAUAAGUGAAGUGCAAAAGUUGGGCGUACGCGUUGUGAUGGUUACAGGUGCUUAUUGGAAGUAAAAGUGUUAUUGGCACAAAUCGGAUUUGAAAACCCCUAACGGUACUCACCUCUAUUAGGAGCUAAAUUUGAAAGGUUGAAAAUUAGUAUUUUUCGAGGGUUAAAAUGCAAUUAUAAGUAAAAUAUUAAAAUAGUUUGGGAAAUGCAAACAACAAAUGAAAUUUGAAAUUAAGACAAUUUUAAUAUAGUUGUUCUUAAAUUUUAGGAUUUUUUAAAGUCACAAAAGAGUAUUUGGAAAUAUUUUUUGGUACAAAAUUACGCUAAAAUUUAUUCAAUUUUAAUCAUCACAAUUAUUUGCAAGUAUUGAAUUUUAAAAACCAAAAAAAAACUUUUAUUUCAAUACAUUAAUGUGAGGGUAUUUUCGUCUUUUUAUCACUUUAUCAACUACUAUCCUUCUUAUCCCACCUAUUCCAACCAAAUACUAUUUUUCAUUAUCCUGGACUAACUUUAACCCCCAACCAAACACAAAAAUACUUUAACCCCACCUUAACCCUGAACUUAACCCUAUCCCUGGAAUAACUAGUUUUUCCUUAAUCCCGAACGAAACGGUAGCUAAGAGAAAAGAAGAGAGGAAAGUAGAGAGUGAAAAAAAAAAGAAGAGGGAGAAAAGAGAGGAAAUCUUAGAGCUUGGUUUUGAUUUUGGUUCUGUCAAGAAGGAGGUGAGAAGGAGGUGAGAUCUUUCUUAUGAGAUGUGGUUUACACUAUUUGAAUAGAGUUAGAGAUUGUUAGAGCUCUCUUUUAUAUCUUGGAGUUCAGGUGAUAUUUCUCCUAUUUGAAUCUAUCUUAUAAUAUUCAAGUUUCUAGUGAAAGUUUUUUUCGCAUUGUUCUCCCGUGGAUAUAAGUAUAAGUGAACCACGUAAAUCCUUGUAUUUUUGUGAUUUUGUUUAGUUUGUUUUUACUCUUGUGAUUGUCUUUCCAUUAGAUACUUUUAGAAAGUGAGUUGUCAAAUUGCCCAUCAAGUGUUUGUGAAAUUGCCCACCAAAUAUUUAUAAAAUUACCAUCAAUAUUUUUCACUCUCAUUUUACUACAGAUUAAUUUUAAUUGGAUGGUUGAUAUAAUUUACGAAAAUAAAGAUUAAUUCAUAAAU
rnacentral:lncRNA from 1 species